ACUUGAUGGCGUGGGUAUUUACGAAAAAGGUCCCUAAAGCGUUCCCAGGUCUCGAAAAAAAUUUCACCACCUAACUGUGAGAAAUUGGUGAUAUCCUUCCCAAGCU